UUGGAAGAAUGUAUAGCGAAAGCUAAUUGUAUUAAUGAACAGUUAAUGCAAUAUCGACUAUGUCGACUAAAGUUCUAGGUAGAGUAAUGAUAAUGACAUUUUCUACCUAUAUGUCUUGACCAAAUCACGUGCCAGCAGUCGCGGUAAUACGUGGAAGACUAGUGUUAUUCAUCUUUAAUAGGUUUAAAGGGUACCUAGACGGUAUAUCUAGCCCAAAAAGGGUACUGAUAAACUAGAGUUUAAUGUGAGGAGGGGAGUACUAAAGGAGUAGAGAUGAAAUUCUGUAAUACCAAUAGGUAACAGGUAUCGGCGAAAGCAACCUUUUAUGCAAAAACUGACGUUGAAGGACGAAGGCUCGGGUCACAAACAGGAUUAGAUACCCCAGUAGUCUGAGCAGACAACGCUGAAUGCCAUAGAUUAGAUUUUUUUUAUUCUAUAAAUGAAAGUGUAAGCAUUCCACCUCAAGAGUAA
rnacentral:rRNA from 1 species